rnacentral:rRNA from 1 species
UGGCGACCAUAGCAAGAGUGAACCACCUGAUCCCUUCCCGAACUCAGAAGUGAAACCUCUUAGUGCUGAUGGUAGUGUGGGAUUACCCAUGUGAGAGUAAGUCAUCGCCAGCUC